ACGCCGAUACCCGAUCCUGUCCCACGUCCGCAGCCGAUGCCAGAUCCGCCACCGGAUGAAGAACCGAUUAAAU
rnacentral:sRNA from 1 species